rnacentral:rRNA from 1 species
UACGGGGGGUGCUAGCGUUGAUCGGAUUGACUGGGCGUAAAGGGAGCGUAGGCGGCUUGAAAAGUAGGAUGUGAAAUCUUGAGGCUCAACCUCAAAACUGCAUCCUAAACUUUCAAACUAGAGGGUGGUAGGGGAAAACAGAAUUCUGCAUGUAGCGGUGAAAUGCGUAGAUAUGCAGAGGAAUACCGGUGGCGAAGGCGGUUUCUGUACCAUUCCUGACGCUGAGGCUCGAAAGUAUGGGGAGCAAACAGG